UGCACGUACUUCAUGUUAUUUCUUGUGAUCAAGAGGAGAAAGUCUUUGGCUUUGUUACGGAUUGCAAGUGCGUCCUCUACCCAUCAAUUACUGCUCUUCCUUCUUUCUGUUUUUCAGGAAAAUUAUUCUUAAGCUUAUCACAGUGUUGCUGCUGCUAGAUGUUGUUAAAUAGUUAGUAGCUAAUGGGCCACGUAAUGUUACCAGCUUGGAUUUUUGUGUUGACGUAGAUUCAUAGAAUUGUUGGAGUUGAAAGUGACCUUUAAAGGCCAUCUACUCCAACCCCCCUGUAAUGAACAGGGAUACUGCAGCUAGAUCCAGUUGCUCAGAGCCCUCUCCAGCCUGACCUUGAAUGUCUCUUAGGAUGGAACAUCCAUCACCUCUCAAGGAACCUGUUUGAGUGGUUCACUACACUUACUGUAAAAAAAACAGCCUGUGAAGUGUUCCAUCUCUUGGAUCAUUUUUAUGCCCCUCCUCUGGAUGCUAUCCAGCAGAUCCAUAUUUCUUCUGUACUGAUGAUUCCAGGUCUGGACACUGUACUCCAGGUGAGAUCUCACCAGCAUGGAGAGGCAGGAUCGCAUCCCUCAACCUGCUGAUCAUGCUUCUUUUGGUGCAGCCCAGGAUAUGGUUGGCUUUCUGGUCUGUGAAGCUUGUACUGAUGGAAGAGUUACCAUGACCUGGGUGCAAGACCUUUUCAAGUGGAUUUGUUGAACCCUAUGAGGUUCUCCUGGCCCCACUGCUCGAGCCCAUUUAGGUCUCUGGAUGGCAUCCUGUCCCUCGGGCAUGUUGACCACACUAUACAGCUUGAUAUCAUCUGCAAACUUAGUGAGUGUGCUUAAUCCCACUGUUGAUGUAACUGAUGAAGAUAUUAAAGAGCAUCUGUGCAAAUACUGAUCCCUGAUGGAUACCACUUGUCCCUUACCUCCAUCUGGACAUUGAGCUAUUGACCACCCUGCUGAGUGCAGUGUAGCAGUCAGUUCCUUGUCCAUCUAAUAGUCCACUCAUCAAAUCCAUGUAUUUCCAAUUUUGAGAGAAGGAUGCUGUGAGGGACCAUGUUAAAGGCCUUAACUGAAGUUUGGAUAGAUGACAUCAGUAGCACUUUCCUUGUCCACUGAUGCUGUUGUGCCAUUGUGGAAGGCCACUAGCUUGGUCAGGGAGAACUUGCCCUUGGUGGAGCCAUGCUUGUCUUCGAUCACCUUCAGUGUGUCUAAGUGUAACUUCCAGGAGGAUCUGUUCAGUCGUCUUCCCAGACAUCGAGUUGAGGCUGACAGGUAGUUCCCUAGGUUAUCCUUUCUACCAUUCUUAAAAUUGGGUGCAAUAUUGCUUAUUUUCUUGUCACCAGGGACUUUACCUGACUGCCAUAACCUUUCAGAUGUCAUCAAGAGUGGCUUGGCAACUACAUCAGCCGGUUCCCUUGGGGCUAUGAGAUGCAUCUCAUCGGGACCAGUAGACUUUCAGAUUCCUCUGGUGAUCAUGAACUUGGUCUUUUCUGGUUCAGAUGUGAUCUUUCCCUGGACAGACAAAGAUAAAAGUAGAGCCAGGUGUUGGAAAGAUUCUUUCUCAUUAACAGAUAGGAAAUAACAAAAUGCAGUCUCGCAACUUCUGCAGUUAAUGCUACUUAGAAAGCUAAAUUGUACACUGUUGUAUAAAAAAACAAACAAAAAAAAACCUGGGUUGCUGCUUUUGUGCUGAACUUUCUCACCCACAUCUGAUGUGCUGUACAGAAAAGACAUUAAGGAUUAUGGUUUCUCUCCUGUUCAUCAGACUAGAGUGGUGGUGUCUGCCCUUUCUGGCUCCAUUAGUGGAAUGAGGUAUGUAUGGAUAUCUUCACAGGGGCAGCGCUACAGACUUUUUUUUCCCCCAUUUUUACAUGUAAUAAAAUUGUUUCCUAUUUUCUUAGCUAAAUGAUUGUUAGGUGAAGCCAAAGGAAAAGGGAAGCGUCACUUUGUUGUAAGGAACAAAGAAGGGAGUCCACACAGCACUCUGAUGUGCG
ensembl:lncRNA